CGAACGCUGGCGGCGUGCUUAACACAUGCAAGUCGAACGAGGUGAUUGAAAGCUUGCUUUGAGAACCGAGUGGCAAACGGGUGAGUAACGCGUAGACAACCUGCCGCAAAGAUGGGGACAACAGUCCGAAAGGACUGCUAAUACCGAAUGUUGUCAGUUUCUCGCAUGGGAGACUGAUUAAAGAUGGCCUCUACUUGUAAGCUAUCGCUUUGCGAUGGGUCUGCGUCUGAUUAGCUAGUUGGUGGGGUAACGGCCUACCAAGGCGACGAUCAGUAGCCGGUCUGAGAGGAUGAACGGCCACAUUGGAACUGAGACACGGUCCAGACUCCUACGGGAGGCAGCAGUGGGGAAUCUUCCGCAAUGGGCGAAAGCCUGACGGAGCAACGCCGCGUGAGUGAAGAAAGGGGUUUCGGCUCGUAAAGCUCUGUUGACGGGGACGAAUGUGCGAGAUGCGAAUAGUUUCUUGCAAUGACGGUACCCGUCGAGGAAGCCACGGCUAACUACGUGCCAGCCGCCGC
rnacentral:rRNA from 1 species